CGGUCACUCAUCCCUGGGGGUGAGCUGGUCACAGGACACUGGCUGCCUCUCAGGCCGUGCCAGGGACCUGGAGGGGGGCCCUGUGGGGGUGAGAGUCCUGGAGCCUCCGUGCUGUGACCUUGGGCAGCUAUUCCCCCUGUGUGGGCUUCCAUCUCCCGCUGUGUAAAAUGAGACUGUGCUAGAUGGGAAUUUUUUAAGAUGCAAGUGACAGAAAUUCAAGUAAAUAAGAGCUGAUCCUCUUUAUCUUGGGUUGCGGACAAGCUUCCUGCAGACGGUGAGAAAUCUGGCCAUCAGCAUCUCUGGGCUUACCAGCCCCAGUUUAGGACUCUAGAGAAAAGAGAGCUGUUCUCCCUAAGUGUCAUACCUAAAAUGCCAAGGAAGGCUCUGGGUGGUCUGUCUUGGGUCACAGCUCUACUCAUGUGCCUGUGGCCAAGAGAGUGGGAAUCUUUGGCUGCUUUUUGUAAGAAGAAGCUGGGGGCAGGGAUACUGGGCAGACAUUGGCAACUGAUGUCUGCCAAAGAGAAAGAAUAAUCCUGGUGAAUUCCAAAAUAUGCCAAAAUAUGUUUACCCAUUUUACCAUUUAAAUAUUUACUAAUUUCUCCCAACAAAAACUUGCUGUUUUCCUUAUUUUCUUCCCUCUUUAGUGUGAAAAAGAUGAUUUUCAGAGUAGGAUGGAGUUUUAUCUCCUUGUCCAGCAUUUCUUCUGUUAAAGAUUUGUUUUAUCACUGAUGGGCUUCUCUCCCCUUCAGCAGGUGCAGAGGACCCCCCCGUGUGUCACGGGGCAUCUACCCAGCAGCCGGGACCGAAUCCCAAUGUGUGAAGGAAGACUUUUCAUGCUGUUAUCAAGACAAACACUAGGUUCCUACCAUGAAAGAACAUCCAUUGAGGAAGGAACGUCUCCCCACCAGGAGGAGGAUGGCAGAAGCGGAAGGGGACUGCCUAACGUAGCGGUCAUUGCACCAGGCAUCUUAAAGUGGUGGUACUUAUAUAAUGAUCUGCAUAUGAAGGACAGCCCUCCGGCCCUUGCACACUCAGCCACACGUCCUAGGAUGUUGGUCAUAGAGGAGAAAGAGGCAAUGCGACCACGGCCACACACCCCAGCCUCUGGAUGCACAGCUCAGCUUGCCUGUGGCUGGACGACAGGGCUGUGGAAGCUCCCCGUUCAGAGAAUCAUGGCUCUGUCAGGACGAGAACCAGAACGCAGACCUCCCACUAGUUUUCUCACGGAGACCUGAGCCCCACUCUUUACAAUGGAGGAAACGUGUGGCUCCAGAAGGGAAGUGAUGUCUCAGAUAUUAAGUUUGUCCUGGUUUGUCCUGGCAUCUUGGUGACUGGGGCCAGAGCUCCUCUUCCCUCACUCUGCCUUCUGCUCCACCCAUCGUUAUCCCCCAUCCUGCCGCUGACUUGGAUAAACAGUGUUUAAUUGGUCCUCUG